rnacentral:lncRNA from 1 species
UGGGGACAAGUUAAAGUGCCGAAAUACAAGUUAACAAGAAAACCAUUAUUUUGAAAACUUGUCCAUCAACAAAGCAACACAUGAAAACACCCUAUUUUUCCUGGCGGUCUUUUCAACUUAAACUUAUAGUACAAUUUAUAAAGCGCGUGCGCAAUGCAUUAGCAACCUAAAGAAACGAGCCUAUUCUCCACCUUGGAGCGAGAACUACGUUUCUUAUCGUUAAGCUCCUAAUCCAAGAUAUUUUAGGCAGAAAAUGGUUUCUUUUUUGUUGUUUUUUUCUGCAACGAGUAUUCUUGGACUAUUGUUGCUUAUAUUCAAAGUGACUUCGCGGUUUUCUUUUUUAUUUUUCUCUUUUUCGCAAUAUUUCUUUUCUUUCCACUUCGAAUUGGUUCUGUAAGUAUUUUUCAGCAGGAAAACAGAUUCCAUUUUCUUGUUGUGUUAAAUACUUCACAGAAAGUUACUGGCGCAAAAGCAUUUUGAUAAUGAACUAUAGUAUACAUGCCUUAUAGUAUACAUGCAAAAACAGCAAAAGCGCCCUAUUUCUAGCUACCUAACCUUCCUAACUAGUGCGCGCGCGCAUAUAACCUUUCAAAAACCUGCAAGGGAAACCCCCGAAUGUGGAGUCUCGGUCAUGCCCCUAGCUUAACUUAACUUAACCUAGUGUGCCGAUCGCACCUGAUGAGCUUCCACAAACAGGGGUAAGAUUUGCAUGCCUUAUGUUAAUUGUCUUCCAUGAAAUCGUCGAGCCACCAUGAGAGAGAGGGGACCUAAUCUCUGGUAGCGAACUGUUUUCAUAUAACCCGGGGCAGAAAACUAACGUUCGAAACCAGCGAUAUACAUGCAUUACGGGCGAUGAAAGAUACACCUUUCCACGGCAAAAAAACCCUAGACUAUUUUAUCUUUACAAUAAUUAUGUCAUUACAGUCCUAAGCUGAUCUUUUUGAAAGUAGAACCGGAUUACCCGGAGAGAAUCCACAUCUUUCAAAAAUUCUUGUCCACCACGAUGUCCACCAAUCUUCUUACGGGUACGAUUUGCACCCUCUAAGCUAUGGAUACCAUUUGCACCCAGUUUAGUUAUCCUACCCAAGAGAAACUAUGCCAGCUUUUCAACAAAAUUUUGC